AGGGGCUGACAUACUUAAAGAACCAUGGCUAGAGGAACCAGGAAAAGAAACCAAUAGGAUCUGAGAGUGAAGGCUGUGUUCACAGUGAAGGUCACCACAGCCUGAGCCCCAAUGAUCCAGAUCAUGGCCACGUCCCUCUUCUUACCCUGCCAGCCUCAGAACACCCUCAUGUCAAGUGCAAACAGCAACACCAUGUGAAGGAGGAAAUCGCCUUUGUCUCAGCUCCGUGCUCAGUGAUGUUUGUCAGAGAUGACACCUAUUCAAUACCCCAGCUUCACAGGCAGCAGAAGUAAGAGAACUGGCAUGAUCCACCACAAGUCACCACAAGACCUGCAGCCAUGAACACGUGUGUGCUUUCUCCUCACAACUCCUCCAAGCAUGGAGUGCUAUGAUCAUAGAGAAAGAGAAAGAAGGCGAGAGUUUGAUGAGAACUGUGUGCAACAGCUGCCCGAAGACCUUGGACCCCACUUGACAAUCAAGCAGUGACCGUAGAGUUCCAUGACUAUGGACAUACUACAGCAAAGAUGGCUAGAAGUGCUAAGGAAUAAGCAAGAACCCAAGAAAACUGCUAGCAUUUUGGGUAUUACCAGUUUCCAGACCAGUGAUGGUUUUCUAGUCCUGAAAGGAGGCUACUGAAACGAUCCCCGCCUUGAGUGCUCAGGAGGCCACACUGGGCGCUGCCGUGUGCAGGGGAGCAUCUUCAGCAAGCAGGGAGCAGCCCUUGAAGGGCAUCAGCAGCUGCACUGAGAACAGAUCACCACCUUCCAAGUUCUCUGGUUUCUCACAGGGUUCUCCUACUCUCAUCUCCAGAAAAGGUAACAUUCUCUGGCUUAGGCUGCAACUUUUGGGGACACUUCGACUUCUCCAUUCA